UCUCUCUCUCUCUCUCUCUCUCUCUCUCUCUCUUUCUCUCUCACUCUCUCUUUCUGCUGUCUGUCUGUCUGUGUAAAUCAUCUCGCUGCAUUUACAUUAAUAACAAUAUGCUCUCCAAUAUAUUGUAAGAUCUGUUAAUAAAUGUAGAUCAAUUUCAUAAAAAGAAACUAGAUUUCAUUUGAUUAUGGUAUUGUAUGUAAUUACAGAAUGUACUUAUACUAUUGUAUAUACCAUAACAUAUUAGAAGAAUAAUUGUAACGAACUUUAUGGUACUUUAUUUGAUGUAUUUAAAUGAACAUGUACCAAUAAUCUUAUAUCGGAAGAAUCAUAAGGUACAAAGCACUUAAAAAUUGGAUAAAACAUAUAGCACAUUGCGUUCUUUGAUCCAGCGAGGAUAUCCGCGUGUGUAUAUGAUUUAUUUUCAAUCAUUGCUUGUUUUUAAAUCUACAAUAUUUACUAUUCAUAGGUGUAGUUGUUUCUUUGCAUGGAAAAAAUGUUGAUUUCAUUUAACAUAAAUAAGCUUGAAAUAAGAAAGAAAAUGUAAAUUAGUAUUAAUAUUGUAGAUAAGAUUGGAUGAAUAGCGGAGUAAACAAAUUCAUCCAUGUUGAUAAUAUAUCAGAAUUCUUUCGUGUUGCCUUUCCAUGGAUAAGCAUCCAGCCUUUUCUUGGCAGUAAUGAAAGCAAGUUAUCGAUGUAUUUUACAAGUUUAAUUGACCUUUCAAAUGCACUAGAUUUUGUUAUAAGAUAACAAAUGGUGAUAGGAAACCAGCUCUACUUCCUUAUAAUAAUUUUAUUCAUAAAGCGGAUGUAACAUGUUGGUAGAAAUUAUAGAAUAAUAACCGACAACGAUUUUAUUAGAAAAAGAAAAAGGACAAAAAAAUUUCUACAUAAUCGUAUAGCGAGCGUUUAGAAAGAAACCAUACUCUUUGAUAAGAUAAGUAAAUUUAAAAUAAAUUAACAAUAUAUUGAAUAUUUAUGAGAUGCAAGCAAAUAAACUAUGUUAUAGGAGAGAUUCCUGAUUGGCUGUAAAUAAUAUAAUGCUGCUACAUGCUAUAAUGAAAAUUCAGAAGAAAAAGGUAUAUUUGGAACACCCAAAAAAGGAAGUUAAAGGUUCGUCUUAUCGGUAUACUUAUUAUUUAUGAUACUGUUUUAUAAUAAGAUAAAUACCAAGUAACAAAAGUAAUUAAUAAAGCAGUUGUGGGAAUACUAUUAAGGAAAAUGGAUAGUUUCCAAAUGUUUCUUAUAAUAAAUGAAGAGUACAUACUUUUCCAUAGACAAUUAUCUUCUACAUAUUUCUAUGCAUUAAUGAAAAAUGAAUAACAAAUCUGAAGAUUUAAAAAGAAACUAAUUGUAAGUAAUUUAUUAAAAUGCUAUUUUAAACGGUCAGCAAAAUGAAAAUUCUUUCAAUUAGGUAGAAAUUUUCUAAAAAGGAAAAUAAAUAUUCGUGAAUUUUUUCUAUUGCUGGAUUCGAAGAAAUUUCUUGCAAGCUAUUGUAUAUAUGUCUUGUGAACCGUGUUAGAUUUUACAAAUUUUUAACAGCAUUUUUUAAAUCCGUGUGCCUAAUCGCAGACCCGAUCUAUGAAAUAAAACAAAAUCUUUGAUCGCUUAAUAGUUCUCUAAAGAAAAGAAUUUACGUUGAUAAAAAAAAGUUGUAUAUAAAAUGUAUGUUAUACGAGAAAAGAAAAGGAUUUUAAUUUUAUAUUAUUUUUAAUUUUCUCUCUCUCUGUAAUCGUUUUAAAUAAUUAUUAGGACAGAAUUUCAUUGAAAGUAAGUUACUAUUAAAUUUGUGUAUAUACAACUCUAGAUUUAAAAGAAAAAAAAAAGGAGAAAGAAAAAAUCUAGAAAUGAUUUAGAUAAUUAGAACUAAUUUAGAUAAGGGAAUAAAUGUUGGGCCAAUGGCAAUACCAUCGAAACUAAUAUGUUAUUAAAUUUUCAAAAUGAUCAUUCGUCUAAACAUAUAAUGAAUUUACAAUUUGAUUAAACAACAUACAAGCCACCUUCGACUCAUUCUAUUCAAUAAUAAAUAAUCUAUGAUGGUAGAAAGUUAAGUUAAGACAAAAUAUAUUAUGUAUAAUGAAGGUAAAAAUAAAGUAAAUGUGACUUUCGUA